rnacentral:rRNA from 1 species
UACGUAGGGGGCAAGCGUUAUCCGGAAUUAUUGGGUUUAAAGGGUGCGUAGGCGGGCUGUUAAGUCAGCGGUCAAAUGUCGGGGCUCAACCCCGGCCUGCCGUUGAAACUGGCGGCCUCGAGUGGGCGAGAAGUAUGCGGAAUGCGUGGUGUAGCGGUGAAAUGCAUAGAUAUCACGCAGAACUCCGAUUGCGAAGGCAGCUUACUAAGCCAUAACUGACACUGAAGCACGAAAGCGUGGGGAUCAAACAGG